AUGUGUUGUCCAUGCCCUACAUGUGGGAAUACGAAGUCUUACUCUGACCGGAAAAUCCUUCACACCCACCAGCUUUACAAGGGUUUCAUGCCACACUAUAAUGUUUGGACGAGGCACGGAGAAAUAGGGGUUAUGAUGGAAGACGUCGAAGAAGAAGAGGACGAUGACAACUAUGUGCCCCCUGAAUACGGUGAUGCUGCAACGGGGGAAGCUGCUGAAGAUCAAGAGGAAACAGACCAUGUGCCUAAUGAUGCUGCAAUGGGGGAAGCUGCUGAAGAUCAAGAGGAACCAGUGCCCGAUGAUGAUAAU
rnacentral:rRNA from 1 species